UCUGUUUUGGCCUACAUUUUCCGGGGGAUCCCCGCCGGUGGGGACCAAGGCACUGCGCGCGGCACGGAAGCCAGCCUUUAUACUUGCAGAACAGGGCCGAAGAAGAUAGCGUGUUUCUUUCUCCGCUGAUGUUACGUUACAAAAAUGUAUUUCCAAACCCGUAUCCUCGACUCUACAGCGACAGUGUUCGUACUGAUGGCGCUGUUCAUCCUUGGUCUCCAGGUAACGCAGCCUCCGUCCUGCAAGUGUCCGCGGGGAUUCACUUACGCUCAGUGUAACUACACCAACAUGGUUUGUUUGACGCAGGCAUUUUUCGUAAACCAAGAAGCCAUCGUUCCCAACUCUGAGCGACCCGCGACUGAGCCGUCGGAUGACGUUACCGUUCACGAUGACGUUGUACAAGCUGACGUCGACGCGUUGAAGAGGGAGAUGACGUACAAUGAUGGUUUUGUGUCCGAGAUGUCCAAGUCAAAAUCUCAAGGUUUCAAACAUGCUUCUAUCACCAAGCAACAGAAGUUUCGCGUUGAAGUCGUGACAAGCAGUAAAGGACUUUAUUCCAAUUCUAUAAAUGAAUACGAUAUUUUGAGGUCAAAACUCAUUUUGUAUAACGCGUACGCUGUCAUCUUGAUAACUAUUGCGAUACUCUUGUCUCUACCUAAACUUGUCUGGAUAUGUACAUCCGUUGAGAAAGAUCUUACGUGUAUGUUGAAUACUUUCACAUACGCCGGAACAAAAGAUGGCAUAGGAUCACGACAAAGAUGCGUUGAACAGUUAGUUGGAGAUAUGAAAUUCUUCCUAAGAUCUUGUCAAGGCAGUUUCUACAAGAACAUUCUGUGGAUGCACGUUCUCAGACCUCUGAUUCCAUUCCUAGUUCCGGUGGCCAUGACCUUCAUACCUGGGGUCAAUGCCCAAGAAACCUUCACCUUGAACCCCAUGACGUUAAUGUCAAAUCUGCACAACCAAAGCGUGACUGUGUUUCCCUCAAAUGCCUUCUGUCAGUUUCAAGUCAUAAGCAGGUCUACCCCAAAGUGGGUGUCUACAACUUGUCUUCUGCCUGUUAGCGAAUUGCUUCAGAUUCUGACGCCAGUACUUAUUGUUUGGCUGGCGGCUGUGUCCAUAUUUGGUUUGUACAAAUACUACUCGUUUAGCAAUCUCAUGUCGUUAGCCAAUCAGAAAUCGUUUUAUGGAAGGCAUGGUCUGAGAAUGGACAAGGAAGAUCCAACAUCCUUACAGAGCGUGUUCGGCAAUGACGGCUUCUUACUGUUCACAAUUGUCUCGGAACUCGAUAAAGGCCAAAUUUUACCUCAAGUAAUGAACGAUCUGAAAGCAUGCAUGGAUAAUCUAAUAGAAAGAUAACAGAUAUGUCCACAUAUCGGUGUCACCUGCAGCAAAUGUCUUCCUUGCCGGGACAAACAAGCGUCCCAUGAUGUCAUUCCACACUCUUUGGAUCACAUUCGUGACAAACUCGUGUUAUUCCUUGACAAGCCGAAAAGCGACUCGUGUCCCUCUCGUGGCCAUUUUUGCGACUGGGUUCCGUCUAAGCGCAAACGGGGAUUGCUAAAACAAUUGUUCUGAUUCACGUAUAUUUCCCCCAUAUGUCAUAUGUAUUCCAGAUGCUAUUUAAAACACAUCGCGACUAACGGUAUUUUACAGUCUGAUUUAAGAAAUUUAACUGUGUCUUCGGUAUCUUGGCAAGACAUAUGUAAAAUCAAAUUAUAUUUCUGAGGGGUUCUUGGCCCGAAGUACUUGAAGUCAUACGCGCAUUCUGAUUGGUUUGUCGUAUUUCAUCGACAGGGGCACGAGUCUUCUUGCAGGUUACGGAAAGGUGCGAGUGGUGACGAAUGUUUGGAUCACUGAUUUUGGGAUGGGGUGUUUAGCAAGGAUGCAUUUUCACUGACGUUUAAUUCAUGUCGAGAUCUAUCAUUGAUUAAAGUGGAAAAGUCCAACUUCGACAAAACCUGUGUGUCGAGAUACGACAAAAAAUGUGUCGAGAUAUAACUUGACAAUCAUUGUAUCAUUGUUCUAUAUUAGUCAUUGUUUCAAUGAAUGAACUUGGAAUGAUAUUGUUUAAUAUUGCUGCGGUGGUUGUGUAUUUUCUCUUUCAUUUGUGGUAGGUUUGUGUAUCGACUAUGAAAUUACUUUGAACAUACGUUCAACACUGGGGGCGGUCGGGUAGCCUAGUGGUUAAAGCGUUCGCUCGUCACGCCGAAGACCCGGGUUCGAUUCCCGACAUGGGUACAAUGUGUGAAGCCCAUUUCUGGUGUCCCCCCGCCGUGAUAUUGCUGGAAUAUUGCUAAAAGCGGCGUAAAACCAUACCCACUCACUCACUUCAACACUGACUCGCGCUGAUAACAUUCGUGAUGUGACAUUGUAUAUAUAUUUCAUGACACAGUAACGAGAGACUUCUUUGCCAUCCGAGAGCUAUUACAUGUCACGCGGUGCAUAAUCAUCCUUAUUUUGACGAUUUAUUAAGUAUCCGUGAACGCUAGUUGUGUGACGUGAAUAUCCCGACAAUCUUCCCACACGAAAUCUGUAACAUGCGGAAAUAGCUCGAUCGUGGUAAUUGUCAUUUUGGGGGAGAACUGGUUCAGCUUAGUGGUAAAAGCGUUCGCGCGUCACGCCGAAGGCCCGAGUUCGCUUUCCCAAGUGCACAAUGUAUUCAGAAAUAUAUUCAGAUGAAUAUAAGCCCAUUUCUGGUGUUCCCCGCCGUGAUAUGGAUAGGAUGUUGUUAAAGGCGGCGUGGAAUCAUACUCACUCACUCAUUCUGUUUGGCUAGCUCGUCUCUUACUUGCUGUUCACAUCAUACCCAAACCUAACUGUGAGGCUUACUGCACCCGAACCCACCCCCACCUCCCCUCUUAAGGGUUGUGAAUUUAGCUGGAAGUUGUAUGUCAUAACGGUAUUGCAUCAUUCAGGUUCAACGAUACACGGUUUUCUUUACAAAUUUUGUGAUGUGUCUUUCAUAAAUUAAAUGAUGUUUAUAUUAGAAUUUAAGUGCUUUCCCGUGAAGACUGUUGCUUACGUUCUAAUUUAUGAUCGGUGAUUAAAGAUAAUUUCUGUAUUUAUGAUAAUUAAAAGUAUUUUGUAUCUAUUAUGUACAGGGGCGGUCGGGUAGCCUAGUGGUUAAAGAGUUCGCGCGUCACGCCGAAGGCCCGAGUUCGCUUUCCCAAGUGCACAAUGUUAUGAGCCCAUUUCUAGUGUUCCCCGCCGUGAUAUGGAUAGGAUGUUGUUAAAGGUGGCGUGGAAUCAUACUCACUCACUCAUUCUGUUUGGCUAGCUCGUCUCUUACUUGCUGUUCACAUCAUACUCAAACCUAACUGUGAAGCUUACUGCACCCCCGCCCCCACCUCCCCUCUCAAGGGUUGUGAAUUUAGCUGGAAGUUGUAUGUCAUAACGUUACAUCUUCCCGAGGCAAGAGAGUUAACAACCUUGGUGGAAACGGGACUUUUAAAGUCAGUUAGCUCUCUUGCCUCGGGAAGGUGUGACGUUAUUGCAUCAGUCAGUUUCAACGAUACACGGUUUUCUUUACAAAUUUUGUGAUGUGUCUUUCAUAAAUUAAAUUAUGUUUAUAUUAGAAUUUAAGUGCUUUCCCGUGAAGACCGUUGCUUACGUUUUAAUUUAUGAUCGGUGAUUUCUGUAUUUCUGAUAAUCAAAAGUAUACAUUUUGUAUCUAUUAUGUACAUGUACACUUGUGUGUAUUUUCCAUAGAUGUUUUUUUUGCACAUUAUUAUCGCGGCUGUUGAAAUAAAGACAUUCGUAAACCAUA
rnacentral:misc_RNA from 1 species